CCUACGGGAGGCUGCAGUGAGGAAUAUUGGUCAAUGGACGAGAGUCUGAACCAGCCAAGUAGCGUGAAGGAUGACUGCCCUAUGGGUUGUAAACUUCUUUUAUAUGGGAAUAAAAUGUUCCACGUGUGGGCUUUUGUAUGUACCAUAUGAAUAAGGAUCGGCUAACUCCGGGCCAGCAGCCGCGGUAAUACGGAGGAUCCGAGCGUUAUCCGGAUUUAUUGGGUUUAAAGGGAGCGUAGGUGGAUUGUUAAGUCAGUUGUGAAAGUUUGCGGAUCAACCGUAAAAUUGCAGUUGAAACUUGCAGUCUUGAGUACAGUAGAGGUGGGCGGAAUUCGUGGUGUAGCGGUGAAAUGCUUAGAUAUCACGAAGAACUCCGAUUGCGAAGGCAGCUCACUGGACUGCAACUGACACUGAGGCUCGAAAGUGUGGGUAUCAAACAGGAUUAGAUACCCUUGUAGUC
rnacentral:rRNA from 1 species